UACGGGGGGUGCAAGCGUUGUUCGGAAUUACUGGGCGUAAAGCGCACGUAGGCGGAUUCGUAAGUCAAUUGUGAAAGCCCUGGGCUUAACCUGGGAAUGGCAGUUGAAACUGCGGACCUUGAAUACUUGAGAGGAUGACGGAAUUCCUGGUGUAGAAGUGAAAUUCGUAGAUAUCAGGAGGAACACCCGAGGCGAAGGCGGUUAUCUGGCAAGCUAUUGACGCUGAGGUGCGAAAGCGUGGGGAGCAAACAGG
rnacentral:rRNA from 1 species